rnacentral:rRNA from 1 species
CCUACGGGAGGCAGCAGUGAGGAAUAUUGGUCAAUGGGCGGAAGCCUGAACCAGCCAAGUAGCGUGCAGGAUGACGGCCCUACGGGUUGUAAACUUCUUUUAUACGGGAAUAACGCGCGUCACGUGUGGCGCUUUGCAUGUACCCUAUGAAUAAGGACCGGCUAAUUCCGUGCCAGCAGCCGCGGUAAUACGGAAGGUCCGGGCGUUAUCCGGAUUUAUUGGGGUUAAAGGGAGCGUAGGGCGGAUGUCAAGCGUGCUGGGAAAUGUUCGGGCUCAACCCGCGGCUUGCAGUGGAAACUGGCGGGCUUGAGUGAGCGGAAAGCAGGCGGAAUGCGUGGUGUAGCGGUGAAAUGCUUAGAUAUGACGAAGAACUCCGAUUGCGAAGGCAGCUUGCUGGAGCGGAACUGACGCUGAGGCUCGAAAGCGUGGGUAUCGAACAGGAUUAGAUACCCGUGUAGUC